rnacentral:rRNA from 1 species
GGAUUAGAUACCCUGGUAGUCCACGCUGUAAACGAUGUCAACUAGCCGUUGGGAGCAUUUUGGCUCUUGGUGGCGCAGCUAACGCGAUAAGUUGACCGCCUGGGGAGUACGGUCGCAAGAUUAAAACUCAAAGGAAUUGACGGGGGCCCGCACAAGCGGUGGAGCAUGUGGUUUAAUUCGAUGCAACGCGAAGAACCUUACCUGCCCUUGACAUCCUGGGAAGGUCCUAGAGAUAGGACUGUGCCUUCGGGAACCCAGUGACAGGUGCUGCAUGGCUGUCGUCAGCUCGUGCCG